CAUACUCCUUAAGCAAAGAAAAAAAUCACAAAUCUACUGAUUCAGAUAUAUCAUAAGCUAACUGCAGUUUAUCCAAUCCAGCUUGAAGUCUAAAACAUAUUGCUUUCUGAUUCUGAAAAGUUGCAACGUGAUGCUGAUCUGAGGGCUCUGGUUAUUUCCCUUGAUUCACAUCAAAGCUUUUGUUAUAAACAUUUGAUAGGUGAAUUUGUAGAGUUUGUGUUAUAUGUGGUCUGAGUUUUCUUUCCCAGGAAAUAUCAUCACCAAGAGAAUGAUUCACUUUCAUCUCCGGAUCAAACCUUCGUUCAUUAGAGUUUAGUCGAGUCUGAAGACGAGAGGAGCACACGCUCGCUGGAAGGGAAUUGGAAUUGAAGCAACAUGAAGACGAGAUGUUUGAAAACAGAGUUCUGCGUGUAUGCUCAACUAAUCUCAGAAGCAGUCAGAAUACGUAAUCAAAGUGGAAAUGUUGUUACUAAAAAAAUAAAAUAAAAUAUUUAUAAAUAGUGAGUUUGAUACCACUGAUAAGAAUGAAACUAAAUCAAAUAUUCAUCAUGUACAGUAGUUGUGUACACAUAUGUACAUAUGAGCAUCUGGUUAAUUGAAAGGGAUAAUUUAGAAUUAUUUUAAUUGGUAGAAAUUGUACCUCCACCAGAAAAGAAUGUAAUUUGAGACGCAUUUCUGAGCUAACAAGCUAACCUUUGUUUGAGUUGAGAAACAGCCUCCUGCCUGAGUUUCAGUUGGAUUAAAGAUGCAUUGAGAACCUUAAAUCCAUCAAGAACAGAACGCCGUAAUACACUGAGACGAGCUGACUCUAUGACUCAGCUCCUGUUUGAUCUGUGAGCUAAUGGGCAGACUUACUGGUAUAGCUAACUUCUAAUUCUCAGUCUUUGAAUGUUGAAACUAAUACUUCUUUAAAGUUACUGAUAUAUAUGCAUGGCCACUCCAUCCUAUAUAUUAUUCUCCCUCAUGAAAAAUGCCCUGGGAUAUAAUCAAAAUACAUUCUCUAUUCAAUCAUCUCAUACAUUUGCAAAAGGCAUCGAGUCACAUGUAAUCAAAAGCCUGUCAGCGACUGUCUUUCAUGUUUCCAGCUCUCUAAAAAUAGCCCACCAUGAAGUGAUCUGCCGGCAUUGUAAGAGCCACAGACCAUCUGUAGCUGUGCCUGUGAGGCAGUGUCAUCAGGCUUUGAUUAUUACUAUGCUGUUCCCAUUAACUACUGCAGCUGAGAGGCAGAGGCGCUUAAUUAGGGGGCCCAAAUAAAAACCUGCUUUUUUAGAAGGUGGUUUGGUGUUCAGCAUCUGGUGGCAACAUUAACUGUGAACUUUCUAACAGAUAAAUGUGCCCAAAAUAAUUUGUUGACAACGAUAAAAAUAUUGCAGCCUUGUUUCUGUUUAGAUCCUGCAGGAGAUGAGGAGGCGGAGGUGAGAUGAGUUUGCCAUUGAUUAUUUGUUCUUUUAAAGCCACAUUGUUGAAGAGUGCCCUUAGCUUGAUUCAAUCUUUUCUUGUAGCUUGUAUGCAGUAUGUAACCUGUUGAAUAUUCUUCAGUUAGUUGAGGACUACAUUUUUCUGAAGAAUUGAUAAAUGUAUAGCACAGUGAAGUAAACAAAUAAACACAGUUUAAGGUCUGACAGGGAUGAUAGUCAGAGGUGGAGACAGACUGUAUUCCUACUUUAACUUCCUUUCAUUCCCUAUGUGAGACAGCAGAUAGGACUGUGUCAGAAUCCUGUUCAAACACUGAUUGCUACUUCACUUUGUUGGUGUGCUCAACCCCAAUUGAAAGUGGAGUAGGUAACCUGUAACACAAUUUAAAGAGGCUUAAGAUUGUAUAAUCUGCAGACAACAGAGUAUCUGUCGGGAUCAUGUGAACUGAUUUCUGUUAUCUUGUUCAAGUGUUAUUACUACUAUUAUUAUUAGUGUUUAUACAGUAUAAUAGAACUUUCUCUCAUUUACAGAAAGAGACAUCACACAGCCGCCGAGGAUGUCUGAAAACCUUCCCCAUGUGUUUUUUUUUGUGCGUCUUUUGCAGACACGCUUCAAAGUUAUGUGUUCAAGCUUCCUAGUUUGCUGCUUUGGUUUGGAUAAAAACAAUAUUUGUCCAGCAGUGAAAUGUUUGCUCAGUAAACCUUAAGCAAACUAAAGCUUUAUAGAGCUUUGACUCUGCCUGACUGCAUGGUGCUGAGCAGGCAAAGAAUAAGAAGUUUCAUCAAGUCAUUCAUCAAACUGGCAGACUGAUCUUGUCAUUUGUUUUCCUGUCAAUAGGGAAAUGCCCGCUUUAUGCUGUUAAAAGAUGUGCACAAUAACCCGAGAGGCUGAAGUUUGAUGUACAAUUUGCAUAUUUGUGUCGCGUUUUUAACACUUCAGACGGAGGCGACACUGAGAGCCUGAGGAGUGAUGGAGCUGCUGAGCUGAGUGAAUGUGUUCCAGAUGAAAAGCCUCCACGUCUAAAAACUGCUGCAGUCGAGAAACUAAACAAUAACAGAAACUGCAAUGUAUUGACUUAUAUGCCAGUAAUGAGUGUGUGCAUCAAGCUGUGCAGGAAAAAGCAGGGAGGUCAAUAAUCAAACCAUUAUGUGGUCGACAGUUUUAUGACUGUAAAAGUUAACUAUAAACGCCCGGUGUUAAUGCACAAUCAUUGGAAGCAACCUGCUUAGGUGUCUGCCAGAGUGCUGUGCUUUUCAUCACUCCGACUGGGAGCACAGGGGAACACUGAACCAUCUGGCUCGCUGCAGUGUGUUGAAUAACACGGUGAUCUGUUGGUCAUCAUGGCUUCUCAGUGCUCUGACACAGCCAAUGUAGCACUAAUAGAAAAGGUAUAAUGCAGGGCUGCUUCACUAAAUGACACAACAAUCAUGAUUUAUUUUUCUGUAAUUAGUUAAUAACUAGACCAUUCUGAAUCAAAUCAAGCACUCCCUAUUUACAGAUUAACUGUCGGACCAAUCACAGGAACCUUUUAAGGCCCACUGAUCAGCUGUAAACAUGGGUGUGAUUGUAGGUGAGAGCGUCAUGUAUAGUAGAAGUGCAUAAUUUAUAAGAGCAAUAAAGUCAUUUGGCUGCAUGCAUUGGUGACAUUAUAAAUAAUGAGUCCAGUAUUAUGACUGACAAAAGUCCACAGACAAAGUUUAAUGACUUCUUAUAGGGUUUUGAAUUUGGUGUUUACUCUACAGUAUACUACAGCUGAAAUCUGAUUUUUUUAACAAGCCAUCACUUUUGUCUGAACAUUCCUCUUUGAAAGAGAUCUGUAUUAACUAAGACAUUACUGAUUAUUUCUGCCGUAUUCUCCUCUCUUCCACUUUAAGUUUACAAAUAUUAAAUCCCAAAAAAUGAAAUUUGCAUGCGAGUGCAAAAUCUGAUCUGUGUCAGGCUGUUAUAUUAAGUAUCAAAUCAAGCGUUGGGUUAAUGUUGUUGUUUUGACAGCACAGUUGACAUUUCAACUAACAAGCCUUCAGUGAAACUAAUGAGGGCUUGUUUUGUUACCUCAGGUGAUGCGAAGCCUAAAUACUCCCAGUCCCACGUCCCGCCUGCAAAACUGCAAGAAAGGAAGAGACAGACAGAUUGUUGAGAAGUGCAGAGAUUUACCUGCGCCUGGGGGCCUCAGGAGAGUCGUUAGGGGCCACUCCUCGGGCUACUGAUGCCAGGAACUCCUGCCUCUUCUGCUGCACCAGACACGCCGCACGGAUUAUUUUGUGGCGUGGCGUCCGUAGAUAAGGCCGAUUAACCUUUUGCGCAAGGUCCUCAGUCACCAUUUCCAAGUCCGUCUGAGGGCAGAAAGAGAGCUGGCUGGGAUAUUUUUCAGGGAAACUCAACAGACAGACGCUGUCAACAAACCACAGGACCUACUGGCUCCAGCUGUUCGAUGGAUUUUCUAUUAGCCAGGCAUCACCAUAAGCAGUUCUGCAUGAUUUGAGGAAAAAGUUGCUAUGUGCGAUAAAAUUGUUCACACAGUUCCAGUGCCCACUAGCUGUUCUUCAUGUUUCACACAACAUGUGUUUUUUCCACUAGUUAAUCCAAGGGUAGCAGAAAGCUAGCUUGAGCUUCUUCUGACCACAUAGAAAUUGAGCGAAAGCACCACCAGCUCCAGCUCUCCAUAUGAGUGAAGAAGGACACGUGCUGAGUGAGCAGUAUUGCUUGUUUACAUGAAGUAAUUUGUAGUAAUAAAUUCAGACUUUUGCAAUGUGUUUAUUGUAAAUACUUAUAUUGUUAUGACAAUAUAACAAUAAUUGCAUAACCCUACUCAUCAGCUGCCUCUUUAUAAUCUAAUAAAGACUAAAACUGACUGGUUUAUCUUCAAAUGACAUUACAAUACUAUUUCAUCAGAACAAGAGAGCUUCUUACUGUCUCAAGUCUAGAGAAUAAUGUUAUGUUAGAGUGAAAAC